rnacentral:rRNA from 1 species
AUGAAAAUCGGACUUAGUGAUCCGGUGGUUCUGCGUGGAAGGGCCAUCGCUCAACGGAUAAAAGCUACCCUGGGGAUAACAGGCUUAUCUCCCCCAAGAGUCCACAUCGACGGGGAGGUUUGGCACCUCGAUGUCGGCUCAUCACCUCCUGGGGCUGUAGUAGGUCCCAAGGGUUGGGCUGUUCGCCCAUUAAAGUGGUACGCGAGCUGGGUUCAGAACGUCGUGGGACAGUUCGGUCCCUAUCCGUCGCAGGCGUAGGAAAUUUGAGAAGAC